GACGAACGCUGGCGGCGUGCUUAACACAUGCAAGUCGAACGGAAAGGCCCUGCUUUUGUGGGGUGCUCGAGUGGCGAACGGGUGAGUAACACGUGAGUAACCUGCCCUUGACUUUGGGAUAACUUCAGGAAACUGGGGCUAAUACCGGAUAGGAGCUCCUGCUGCAUGGUGGGGGUUGGAAAGUUUCGGCGGUUGGGGAUGGACUCGCGGCUUAUCAGCUUGUUGGUGGGGUAGUGGCUUACCAAGGCUUUGACGGGUAGCCGGCCUGAGAGGGUGACCGGCCACAUGGGGACGGGGAUACGGCCCAGACUCCCACGGGGGGCAGAAGGGGGGAAUAUGGCACAAGGGGGGGAAGCCUGAUGCAGCAACGCCGGGGGGGGGAUGACGGCCUUCGGGUUGGAAACCGCUUUCCCCUGGGACGAAGCGGGAGUGACGGUAAUGGGGAAAGAAGCACCGGCUAACUACGU
rnacentral:rRNA from 1 species